rnacentral:rRNA from 1 species
GAUGAACGCUGGCGGCGUGCCUAAUACAUGCAAGUCGAGCGAACAGACGAGGAGCUUGCUCCUCUGACGUUAGCGGCGGACGGGUGAGUAACAUGUGGAUAACCUACCUAUAAGACUGGGAUAACUUCGGGAAACCGGAGCUAAUACCGGAUAAUAUAUUGAACCGCAUGGUUCAAUAGUGAAAGACGGUUUUGCUGUCACUUAUAGAUGGAUCCGCGCCGCAUUAGCUAGUUGGUAAGGUAACGGCUUACCAAGGCAACGAUGCGUAGCCGACCUGAGAGGGUGAUCGGCCACACUGGAAGUGAGACGCGGUCCAGACUCCUACGGGAGGCAGCAGUAGGGAAUCUUCCGCAAUGGGCGAAAGCCUGACGGAGCAACGCCGAGUGAGUGAUGAAGGUCUUCGGAUCGUAAAACUCUGUUAUUAGGGAAGAACAAAUGUGUAAGUAACUAUGCACGUCUUGACGGUACCUAAUCAGAAAGCCACGGCUAACUACGUG